GCUUUUAACUUGGUGGAAGGUUAAUUCCACCAAGUAUCAGAUCCUUUCUCGUAUUGCCCGAGAUGUGAUGGUCAUUCCAAUCACUACAGUUGCCUCUGAGUCAGCAUUUAGCACUGGAGGUCGAGUAUUGGAUUCUUACCGGAGUUCAUUGUCACCGUCAACUGUGGAGGCCCUCGUUUGCACACAGAAUUGGUUGAGUGAUACGCCCAUUGGACUAGAUACCAUUGGCUUUGAUGCUGAUAGUUAUAAGCUUGAAUCAGAUAUAAUUGUGAAUCCUAGCAUACUUGCCGAUGACUGAUACUUGGAGUGUGGCUAAGUUGAUAAACUCGCGAUUAAAAAAUAUUGGUAUCACCAACGAGUCAACGACAAACCACGAUAUAUUGAAAGAUGUUUUGGAGCACCUCUGUAUUGGAAGAUGUUUUUAUUUUGGUAUUGGAAUUUGGAAGAUGUUCGGAAUAGCAUUUAAACUAUUAUCAAUGUUUUGG